rfam:Triticum urartu cultivar G1812 contig1367468, whole genome shotgun sequence.
CUUAUACUCCCUCCGUCUCAAAAUUCUUGUCUUAGAUUUGUCUAGCUACGGAUCUAUCUAACACUAAAACGUAACUAGAUACAUCUGUACUUAGACAAAUUGAAGACAAGAAUUUUGGGACGGAGGGAGUAUUAU